UACGUAGGGGGCAAGCGUUGUCCGGAUUUAUUGGGCGUAAAGAGCGUGUAGGCGGUUUGGUAGGUCCGCUGUGAAAACUCGAGGCUCAACCUCGAGACGCCGGUGGAAACCAUCAGACUAGAGUCCGGAAGAGGCGAGUGGAAUUCCCGGUGUAGCGGUGAAAUGCGCAGAUAUCGGGAGGAACACCAAUGGCGAAGGCAGCUCGCUGGGACGGUACUGACGCUGAGGAGCGAAAGCAUGGGGAGCGAACAGG
rnacentral:rRNA from 1 species